CGGGGCAUAGCACAGUUGGUAGUGCGCUUGGUUCGGGACCAAGAGGUCGUGAGUUCGAUUCUCACUGCUCCGACCA
rnacentral:tRNA from 1 species